CGAACGAGAGAAGAGGGGAGGGACCAGGAGAGGCGGAGUGGGGGGAGGGGGAGCGGUCUAGGUAGGGGCGGCUCGCGGCUGUACCCGAGCGAGGCCACUUCGAGCGCUGGUGGCCGGUGAAGAGGGAGUGGCAACGCAGGUGCUGCUGGCGGUAGCGGGCGACGCAGGUGAUGCCUCUGCUUCUGGACGGCCUUGGGGGUGGAAGCGGCCUAAGCGCAGCGGGAGCAGGCGAAGCCAGUAGCUGGUAGAGGCAGUUGAGGCUGGCGGGGCGUCGAUGAUUAGGCAGUGGCCCGGGGGUACGCGGGUGUGCUGAUGCUCUGGCUGCGACGAUGACUGGUCAAGCUGAUGCCUCAACUGCUGGGGAGAGAGAACGGUCUCGUUGGUC
rnacentral:rRNA from 1 species